AUCUUUGGGUUAAAAUAAAAAACCCUAUUUUUCUAAUUAAUAUCCUGUGAYUCCUCCCGUUUUUAACUCGGUUCAUCACAUUCACAUAAAGUAACUUUUUUUCCCUGGGGAUACUUUGUCUGAUCCAGCCCCACCAGUGACUCCCAACUCUUUAAAAAAAUAAAAAAAAAAUAAAAAAAAUCAUUUUUAUGGCACUAGUAGCCUUCAUUCAACAGCAGCUUGAGAGGCAGAAGGCCAGUAAGAGAAAAGACACGGAGAAUGUAUUUAUUUAGAUCUGUUUUUUCUUGUCAUUCUAUUGAAAAGUAGUGGAUUUCCUCCCACCCCCCAUGGCCAUAUUCUGUGCAUGCAUCUUCAAAUUCUUCCCAUAGAAUAAAAUAUUUUUGUCCUCUUUUUGCAAAGGUUUUACCUUUUUCUUUAUUUUAGAACCUAAAAAUAGAACUAAAACAGUGGUACUUUAAAGAGAACAUUAACUGGAGCCCUGCCCCUAAUCAUUCUUCAAAAUUAUUSAACAAGUAAUUCAUUAUUGACCUGAAUAUUGUCCUUUUAACCAAGGUGCGUAAUUUAAGCCAUCUCUAUUUCCCUUUGCGUUUUUAUUUAAAAUUUAUUUGUAAAAAUUUCAACUGAGUUUUCUGUAGGUGGUUUAAAGUUGAUUUGAACCAUUAUAAAUCAAAUUUCAGACCUGUAUCAUGACAGAAAAGUACAAAAGAAAAUGCUACRUUUUAUAAAAUAGCAAUGCACAGAAUGAAAGUAGCAUCGUAUGGGUUGGCAGCAGAAAUGAACAAAUAGCAACGUUGUCCAGACAACUGGACAGCUAGCUAGCAAGGGAGCUAGUUAGCGCCUCAAAUCACAAUGCAAUGAAGAUGYACGCGACCCAAACCUUCACCUGACAGAAAUGCCCCGCGAGAAAAAUGAACAUAGAAUAUUCGACACAAAAUAGUCUCGUCACCAUAAAAGAUGAGACAUGUGAGGCUGUGAUUAACGCAUUUAAGGCUAACUUACUUUUUUUUCUUUCCCCUAUUGAAUUUAAAACCUUUUAAUUUAAAACCUUCCCAAGUAACCCUCUUAUAAAGCAAAUAAGGAGCAAAAAUGUUCCAUUAUUAACCAAAUUGAUUUAUUAUGCAUGAACAAAUCGCUUUCUGCUUCUUUCACACGAACACAAACACACACACACACACACACACACUUGCACGCGCGCCUGACAUUUAAAUACAUGUGGUGAAAACCUCGGGCAUAGCUGACUUUGAUGUUGCACAUGCUUUUAAUAAACGAUACGAUAUAUUUACAGGAUAAGCAAUGUCUACGAACAAAACUCGCAAGAACAGCUCCCGGUCCAAUCCUGCAGCAUUUUUGCAACACCUUUAGAAUCACUUGAUUUAUUUUUGGAGAAAAAAAAUUCACCCACAUUCAAAAUGAACUAUAGAAAAAAAAAAAGUAAAUGGGGGGUUUUUGGCCAAUACGACAUAGCAUUAUAUGWAUAUGGAGUUCAUCCACUACAUAAAUAUGGCAGUAACACUGAGUAAUUUAUUGGGUCUAUGUACAAAGUUUGUGAAGUGGGGAAAUAUUACAGUCUCUGCACGGACGACUGACGCAACAAAUGCCUUUAAUGUCUGAGGGGGGGUUGGACUGAGUCUAGGGGGGAAAAAAAACGGACACCUCCAUCCUUCCGCUUACCUUCUGUUAGACCCGUCGGCGCUGACGCAACAAACAAAAUAAGGCACGAUUAAUACUUGGACCAUUUUCAGGGGAAAUCUACAGACUUGCAGCUGGCUUGUGAGGCAUGUAAACAAUUUGUCAAUUGAUUAGGACUGCCUUAUCACCUUCCCUUUAGCCCCCCCCCAAAUCAGUGAUUUAGUCCAUCUGAUGAGAUUUAAAACAAGCUUCGUGUAGCGAAGACCUUUGACCCCCRCCCCUGCAAUGAAAUAUGAAAAGAAAAACAAAACAAUAAUGCUGCUGGAACACUGUCCCCUCUAUAUGCUACUUAACAAAUACAAUCACAUGGUGACAAACGAAGAAAACUAGUAGUGCAUACACUACAAACACAACAGAUAAACGCAAAGCCUGCCAGACUGCCCUUGGUUAGGCCACGGAUCUGCCCUCUCAUCCAGGCAGGGAGAUGGUCUGAACAGAAAUUGAGUUGUGUGAUUGAUUGAUGAGCUUCUCCCAAAGCUGAAGCGGAUUCGUUUGCUAUGUGGCUGAACCAAAGAUUAAAAGAGAGMGAGAGAGAGAAGUGCUUCCUCCCCCCGCCCCGCUCCACUGAUUAUCCCAGACCAGACAAUUCCCGACUAACCUCCAAACGAGCCGGUUUCGGACUAAAGUCUAACGGCCCCCCAGAGACGUCUCAGCUGUCUAAUAAAAAAAAAA